CAAGAGGAAGUGCCAGAAUCUUAUUAGGGAAAGAUUGUUGUGCUUUUACUCCCCGAGGAGGUCUGGCGAGAUUAUAAAGACAGCAGCAUGCUCCUGCAGAAGGCUGAGAGGUGGAGGAAGCAGGCAAGAUGGAAAAGUUACUAGGAAGAAGGAAAAGUGUAAAAGAGGUACAGUGCAUGGGAACGUAAGGAGAAAGGAAAUGAGCGAUGAGGGAGAAUGCCAGCAUCUGUCCUCUUGAUACCACCUUGACCUCCAGUGCUGGCGCCUGUAUUUUCCUCCAGUGGAGAUAACAGAGUUUGACUCUCACUGUGAAGAUACCGGAGGCUAUUAACUCACGUGCAGUGAAGAUACGCUAACCAGGAUGGUUAUCAAUUUCCUGCAACAUACUGGUGUCUAGUGGAAGCUGUCCGGAUCCCGCGUCCAGGGGAGCCGACCUGCCGUGACAUGGGGAUCAGUGUUGGAAGUGUCAUACCGCUCGUGCGUCCUCUGCUUCGUACCACUUUCUGACAUAGUCUCGAUCAUAAUUUAUGAAUAGCUGACAGUAUUUUUCGUGCAGGGAUUUGCUGCAGUCCCAAAAGAAGAAUGAAUAGUGUUUCCUCUUUUGACCACAGAGUGAUCUGCUCAUGCAUGCUGUCAGUGGACAUCGCUACUGACCGGCGUCCAGGGAGAAAAAACAUCCGUUGUCCACUCUGUCCCAGCCGCAAGGCCACGUGGCGGCAGAGUGUCCGGCUGGUGGGCAGAACAUGUGACGGGUGCUCAGGGUGUAUCGCUCGGGCAGGGGCUGCACCACGGCUCGCCAGGAGGAACACGCCUGCGGAGGCUCGUGGCCUCUGGGAAUCGAGCGAGUGAUUCAGCCUCGCGGGACCUGACAGUGCUGCCUCUAAACCACAGAUCCCCCAGAGAAGAGAGCUUUCCAUUUAAUAUUAGCAUUCCGAAGACGUCCGGAACUGAAUAAGCCCUUAGAGCUCAAGGGGAACAUCUCCAGUACUAUCCACGGAGAAAACGGGAAUCUCACACAGUUCCAGGUGCUGCCCCACCUUUCCCGUGCCCAGUUCCGCUGCAAACGGGAGCUGUCGGUGCCGGUAAAUACCUCUCACUGCGACGCAGCCUGGAACCCAACACCGGGAAUGAGCUCACGCCAUCCUUGGCGCAAGGAAUUCUGAUACGAGCUUAGCAGGGAUGAAAGGUACUCGAAGCAAUGGGUGAUGACUUAUGAGCACCAUGGGAGGAAGUCAGCCCGCCACGAGGAAAUUUUUCUGCUGUCUAGAUGUACUAAGGAAACACUGCAAAAACAGAGAAAAAGCCAGAGAACUGGAAACUAUAUCUUGGUGUUUUCUUAAAUCAUGUUUGAGUCCACCAUUUUUUGGUUGUAUUACUUUAAAAACCAAACAAACAAGCAAACCCAAAGCAUUUCCUUUUCUUUUGGUCUAUAUAUUGAAUCAUGCACGGCGUGCAUUAUACAGAAUAGCCUGGCCCCAGUUUGGAGUAAAAGGUAAAAGGAGAGGAAGGUCAGCAUUUCACAGCACUGAAUCCUAAGUAAUGCCAGACUGCCUGACAUCACGUAAACUGAGGGAAAGUCUGCAAUAACUUAACUUCUUUUUUUGAAUGAGUGCCUGGUGCUGGAAGGUAUCUCGAGCCAUUGACAAGGAAGGCAUCUCAGGACACUUAGCAUUAUCCAGGCAAUAUUCAACGUCUUCCAAGAUUCAGUGCCUCGGCAGGCAGGAGCAGAGAUGUAGAUUUUUUAGCAUCCAAAAAAAGAAAGGUGAAGGGUUCAUCCCAGUUCUAGGUGGUAUUUUAAAGCUAGCGUGGUUAAGGCAUGCCCAGCGCUGCUGCCAGCAGCUUGCAAACCAUUUACUUUUGAUUUUUCCUGUCUGAAGGCCCAGGUCAGAGUUGGAGUUGGCAUUUAGCAUGAGUGUAGAGGGAGCUUCAAGCUUACCCCUCAUCUGUUUCAUCAUCGGACCAUUCUCUGUAGUCCUCUUCAUUCAGCUUAUGAGAAAACGUUCAUGGGCAACGCCUGGCCCAUUGCAGAUCAAGCGCAGCCACGACACGGCUACGGACGCUGCCGACGCUACGGUCAGUGGAUGUACUGUCGCGCCAAGAAAACAGACAAUUGUUUCUUGCUGCUGCAGAACAUUGAGGAAAUACGCUUGGCAAUGGAGAGAAUUCCGUUGGUUCUGCUGUAGUAAAAGGCUGGUGUAGACUCAGAGUUUCCAUUAGAUAGCAAAGCGUUGCACUGUAGUUGAAACGCUUCGUUUUUAAUGACUAGCGCAACAGUUCAGUGGCUGGGUAGUAAGCCCUAUCACGCGGGCACUCAUCUGGAAAAAUCCACUGUAUUCGUACGAGGAGACCCUCCACCACGAAGCCGCUAUCUGCCCUGAGGCAGGUUCCUUAGUUUUCCCUGUAUGUAAAGUGAGAAUAAUGAUAUUUACUGUCCUUUGUGGGAUGCUUGUUUAUUUAUUACAGCAAUAUGUAUUACUCUUAAGUAUUAAGGAGCCUAUUUCCAACUGACAAAAAAAUUACUUCUUUAGUUUUUAUCAGUGAAAUAUGGUCAGUCAUCCAACAAUUUGCUUCUUUGGCAUACCCUCCACUUGCCGUAAUGAGGAAUAAACCAAGAGUAUAUCUCAAGAAAUAUAUGGUUAGAAACAAUGCUUUUAUGUUUUCCAUAUUUUGUUAUUUUUGCCUCAAAUCACAGUUCAGUUCAGCGUGAUCUGACAUGGCUGAAAGACUGAAACCCCCACUCCUCCGAAGCAGUGUUUAUUAUAGAAACCCACAAACUUAACCUAACCUAGAGCAGCUUUUCCAGCAGUGAUAUAAUUACAGUAGUUAUUGUUGCAAUAAACCAGAUGUUCCUGAACUGGAAUGAAAGCGCUUCCCCCCGCGUUACAUUUGUUACGUUGCCUCUUUUCAAGUUUCA